rnacentral:rRNA from 1 species
GACGAACGCUGGCGGCGUGCUUAACACAUGCAAGUCGAACGGAAAGGCCCUGCUUUUGUGGGGUGCUCGAGUGGCGAACGGGUGAGUAACACGUGAGUAACCUGCCCUUGACUUUGGGAUAACUUCAGGAAACUGGGGCUAAUACCGGAUAGGAGCUCCUGCUGCAUGGUGGGGGUUGGAAAGUUUCGGCGGUUGGGGAUGGACUCGCGGCUUAUCAGCUUGUUGGUGGGGUAGUGGCUUACCAAGGCUUUGACGGGUAGCCGGCCUGAGAGGGUGACCGGCCACAUUGGGACUGAGAUACGGCCCAGACUCCUACGGGAGGCAGCAGUGGGGAAUAUUGCACAAUGGGCGGAAGACUGAUGCAGAAACGCCGCGUGCGGGAUGACGGCCUUCGGGUUGUAAACCGCUUUCGCCUGUGACGAAGCGUGAGUGACGGUAAUGGGUAAAGAAGCACCGGCUAACUACGUG